CUGAGAUUCUUUUUUUCUUUUAAUUUUACUUUUUUUUUAUAUUUAUCUAUUUAUUAUAUGUAGUACACUGUAGCUGUCCUCAGACAUACCAGGAAAGGACAUUGGAUCUCAUUACGGAUGUAUGUGGUUGCUGGGAUUUGAACUCAGGAUGUUCAGAAGAGCAGUCAGUGUUCUUAGCCGCUGAGCCAUCUCUCCAGCCCCUGGCUCUGAGAUUCUUAUCUAUAACCCACUAAAACUGGGCCUGGAUUUAGCCCCAGACUCCACUAACACUGCCCCUGAGCCGCUGACUGCUAGUCUAGCAAGUGCCGUGAUUCUCAUCCUUCCAAAUGCACUGACCCUUUAAAACAAUUCCUCACGUGGUCACCCCCAACCAUAAAACUAUUUUCGUUGCUACUACUUCAUAACUGUAGUUUUGUUUGUGCCAUGAAUUGUAAUGUGAAUAUCCGAUAAGCAGAAUUAUCUGUUAUGGGGCUCCUGUGAAAGGGUCAUUCAAUACCUCGAAAAGGGUCGAACCCACAGGUUGAGAACGGCUGCCGUAGGGGACGCCUGGACUGCAGAAGCGAGGAGGCCCCUUCAUUUCCUUCUCGCUGGUUUUUAAUUUUAAGCCCCAGGGAAAUGCUCAUUGGCUGGACUUGGUUACACAGCUGAUGGCUGAACUAGUCAUGGUAUCCUGGAAGAUGGUGCACCCCGAUUUGUUGGGUCAGAUUACUCAUCUUUGUCCAUCCUCAGGAAAUGAGCCACCCCCAAAAUUUAUCUAUUGGGACUAGGAGGAGUGGGUCCCAAAGGAAAUCCGGAAGGGCUGUUACUAAAAGAUGAGAGACGGCAUGAGGGACGUCUCAUCGGAUAAGAACACUACCUGCUUAUCGGGAAGACCAAGCUCCCAGCACCUGUCGGGCAGCUCAGAACCGCCGGGAGGCCGUUCUAGAUGGGCUUCAAUUCACCACGAAGAACAGGCUGGUGUGGAACUCAGAAAGAUUCGUCCUCUCUGCCACCACACCCAGUGUGAGGCAGUGCCAGAGAUGUGUCCUCGGCAAGCAUUUUACGGACUGAGCCCCACCUCCCAACCUCCGUCCUUAGGUUUUUAGGUGAGGAGAGGUUAACUACACUAUAAGCUACACUUACGUUGCACAGCUAAGAAGUGCCUGAGUGCAGUUUCGAACUUACGUUAUUUGCUCUUAGCGGCAACCCUCACAGAUCCCUGUAGCUGGCCCUGCAGCUGUGUCCUUCACAGCUCUCUGGGACAAGGUGGCCCUGAUGCUGACGGUGAUACAGCACUAGGGCAUCCCUUGUUGUUUUCUGCUGUGGAAGGGCCCAGCAUCCAGCGAUGACUUCAUAUAGCCUUUAGUUUUCGCUGGCUGGAGACAGAUUCUUCCCUGUCCUGUGUACUUUAUGCUGUGAGCUCCAGGAGGGAUGGGCGUCCGUGAGGGGUGAGGAGACACACUCCAUUCCUAGCCUUGGAAUCCCAAACUUCCAAAACCUAUGAGAUUAGAUUCCUUUUAAAAAGAUUUAUUUUGAUUUAUAGGUAUGAGUGUUUGGCCUAAAUGUAUGUAUGUAUACCACAUGUGUGCAGUGCCACGGAGGCCAGAAGAGGGCUUUAGAUCCCCGGGACUGGAGGCUCAGAGGGUUGUAAGCCACCCAGUGGGUGCUGGCGACCAAAUGUCGGUCCCCUGGAAUGUUGCAAGAUAUUUCCUAUCCAUUCACAUUGAGGCAGUGAGAGACCAGUGAUUGGAGGGGAGAGAGGAGGAGGAGCUAAGAGGUGAGGGAGGAGGGAGAGAGAGGUUCAGUGGACCAGAUGAUCAGAGCAGAGAGAGAGAGAGAUGUGGCUAUCCAGAUGGCUUCAGACAUAUUGCUGGUGUUUUGGAGAGGUUGGAAAUAUUGGGAUAAAAUUUUAUCAUUGCAAAUUGGCAUUAUGUAAUUGGGAGUUUUAUAUACAUAAAUAUAUUUGGUUACCUA